UGUCUGGGCGGCCGUGCGGGGGGCCUUGUGCCCGCCGGUUUCUAGUGGCCGGUCUUCCAACCCGCACGGUCGCCCUUU
rnacentral:antisense_RNA from 1 species